CCACCCAAUGCGCCGCCAAUGCCGGCUUCGGUGGUACCGCCAGCCGAGGCGACGCCACUGGCCAGGCUCAGGGACAACAAGAGAAUCGACGAGAACUUCAUGUGAGAGGAGCCUCAAAGGGAUGACAGCGCGAUCCUGAGGCUUGUUACGGAGUCGUUACAAUGGAAAUCCGACGAAUAGCACGAAUGCUAUACAAAAUCAUAACUUACUGUUUUUACUAAGGAACUUAGUCCCUUCAGGACGGUCUCACUUUGCUUGAACCCUUCUGUUUUCCGGCUGUCAGCGGUUGCUUGUCGUCACCUAACUGGCCCUGGCCAUGAUCAAACCGGUUUCGCUGGCCAUUUCCAGGCGGAUCGCGACGAA
rnacentral:sRNA from 1 species